UUGGAGGGCAAGUCUGGUGCCCGCAGCCGCGGUAAUUCCAGCUCCAAUAGCGUAUAUUAAAGUUGUUGCAGUUAAAAAGCUCGUAGUUGAAUUUCGGGGUUAGCAGGUCGGUCGUGCCAUUGGUAUGAACUGGUCUCGCUGAUCCCUCCCUCUUGACGAACUGUGAUGCCAUUAAUUUGGUGUCGCAGGGAAUCAGGACUGUUACUUUGAAAAAAUUAGAGUGCUUAAAGCAGGCUUUCGCUUGAAUACAUUAGCAUGGAAUAAUGAAAUAGGACGUUUGAUCCUAUUUUGUUGGUUUCUAGGAUUGACGUAAUGAUUAAUAGGGAUAGUUGGGGGCAUUAGUAUUCAAUUGUCAGAGGUGAAAUUCUUGGAUUUAUUGAAGACUAACUACUGCGAAAGCAUUUGCCAUGGAUGUUUUCAUUAAUCAAGAACGAAAGUUAGGGGAUCGAAGACGAUCAGAUACCGUCGUAGUCUUAACCAUAAACUAUGCCGACUAGGGAUCGGAUGAUGUUAAUUUUUUAAUGACUCAUUCGGCGCCUUACGGGAAAC
rnacentral:rRNA from 1 species